UACGAAGGGGGCUAGCGUUGCUCGGAAUUACUGGGCGUAAAGGGCGCGUAGGCGGAUGGUACAGUCAGAUGUGAAAUUCCCGGGCUUAACCUGGGGGCUGCAUUUGAUACGUGCGAUCUGGAGUGAGGAAGAGGGUCGUGGAAUUCCCAGUGUAGAGGGGAAAUUCGUAGAUAUUCGCAAGAACACCAGUGGCGAAGGCGGCUCACUGGCCCGAUACUGACGCUGAGGUGCGAAAGCGUGGGGAGCAAACAGG
rnacentral:rRNA from 1 species